UACGGGGGGAGCAAGCGUUGUUCGGAUUUACUGGGCGUAAAGGGCGCGUAGGCGGCGCAACAAGUCACUUGUGAAAUCUCCGGGCUUAACCCGGAGCGGCCAAGUGAUACUGUCGUGCUAGAGUGCGGAAGGGGCUACUGGAAUUCUCGGUGUAGCGGUGAAAUGCGUAGAUAUCGAGAGGAACACCUGCGGCGAAGGCGGGUAGCUGGGCCGACACUGACGCUGAGACGCGAAAGCGUGGGGAGCAAACAGG
rnacentral:rRNA from 1 species